AUGGUAAGUGAGUGGUGCUUUCCCAGGACUGGUGUUUCUUGGACACCUCAACUCUCAGCACCGACCAGGGACCCUUCUGCAUCUGAGGUGGCACCGAUUCACAUUUAUAUCUCCACCCCCCAAGGUAUGAGAGUCCUAUCCCUCCUCAUCCUCAUAGCGUAAGCAAACGUGUAAGUGACCCGCAAUCCGAGCAGUGAAAGGUAGUAUGGCGUUUUUAAAAUUUUUAUUUGAAUCCCAUUAAUUACAAAUACUGUUAAGCAAAUCUUUGCACGUGUUCAGAGGACGUGCGUAUUUCCUUCAUCUGAAAAUGUCCCGUGGCUCUCUGCCUGGUUUUCUUUUUGGUUGUUCAUCUUUUACUUUCGGCUUGGACACACUUAUAAAUUAAAGGGGCAGCCGAUCAUAUAUAGUGAAAAACAUUUACUUCUCUUUCAUUUAUGUUUUGUGGUUCUUUCUGACUUUUUUAGUUUUGGGGAAAAAAAAAAGUCCAUUUCUAUGCAGUUAAAAUACAAAGACUCUCCUUCACGGCAUCUCCUUGGCGUGCUUGUCAAAAAAAAAACCCAGGACUUUGUAUGUGUUUGGGUCCAUUCUGGACGCCCUAGACUGUUCCGAGGACAUCUCUGUUUGAACAGAACUCUGUCCUCAUUGGUGUCGCUCUGGGGGCAGAAUGAGGCCAUGGCUGCUCCCCUGCGGGGCUCCUGGAGAGUCCGCUCCUUCUCAGGGUUCCCUGGCCUUUGUGCCCGGUGUCUUCAAAAUUGUUUUCAUUUUUUUUACUCUUUGUGGCUACAGGUUUAGGUGAGAGGUUCAUCUGGCACCUUCACUCGAUCCCGGUCAGAAGCGAACAUCUGCUCCGUGUCUGACCCUGAAGUUUGAAGAUGAUUUGACAACAUGUAGGAUGAGCAGGGACUUGCACGCGGCCCACGCACACGUCCACCUCCAGCAGGAUGGGGACGACCCAGCAGAGAACCUCACUGCCGCUCGGGGAAGACGGCCAGCAGCUAGGCCCCAGCCCCACAUGUGCUGCCGCAGAGCCAGUGUAGACCUGAUUGAAACGACAUCUUCACCAGCAGCCUCGACGGAGGGAUUCGGAGGAGCACGCGUCCUGACGGCCCCCAGGAAUGGCGAGGUCGUCCCGCAGCGGGACCCUCCUCAGCUGCCAGGAUGGCUGAGACUCGGCUUUGCGCAACAGGGCUUCAGUUUCCUUUUUUUCCCUGAAAACUGGUCAUCAUUCCAGCUGUCUCUCCACCGGUUCGGGUUUUUCAGGGAUCCUCUGGGAUCCGUCGCUGUGGGAUCUGACUGUAGCCCCAGCACCAGGCCGCAGCAUGGGACAGAGCGACGUCCCUUCGCCCUUGGUGCGGACAUUCUUCACGCCAGGAGCUUCUCAGCUGAUAAGCCUCCGUCAGCAUCUCCGCGGAGAGCACUGCGUGCUUGCCGAAACCACAGCGUGCAGGCGGCCCCGAUGUGUCCGCGCCCGAGCGUCCUGCACAGGCCGGCAGCCCGCGCCACCCUCCCCACCCCGGGACAGGCGGCCGGUGCAUUGAGCUGACCGGUCACAUACACUCGGGGCCUUAGACCCCUGAAAGGCAGGUGAAUUCGCGUUAGCAGGGGGCCGCAGUCCGCCAGGCAGCCCUGGGCCAGUCGAUGCACCUCGCGGGCCCCGUGGCCUGAUCCAUCGGGCAGAGUGCAUGAGGGUCUGGUCCGUCCUUUCGUGCUCCGGGGCCGGGCCCGGCUCACCCGGGUGCAAACGAGAACCACAAGUGAACCGUCUCGAACGUGUGGAUGUCGUCCUAGGACCAACACGCAUCCUUGGGUAGAGAAUAAUCAUAAUCUUCAGUGAACAAGAAAACUACCUAAAAUGAUAACAAAUGCGAGCAAAUCCCCUUGAUUACAAAAUACAGAUACGAUUCAGACGCGGUUUUCUCUGGCUGCAAAAUGAUAUGUUAUUAAGGUCUCGGCGUAACAGCAGAGAUUUUUCAUCAUCGACUGUGUGCGUUUUGGAGGGACGCUCUGUGCCACGGACGUCUCCUCGCCGGCUGCCCAAGGAGCUGAACUGGAAGAUAUUUAAUACGGAACUAUAAUAGAAUUCAGUGCUCAUUAUUCAAGUGCAGGCACGGGUUCUGGCCCACGGUAAUUAUUAAAAUCAUGUUUAUGCCAAGUAAUG
ensembl:lncRNA